rnacentral:tRNA from 2 species
CAAGAUAUAGCUAAAGUAGUUAAGGUUUUCUUUUACGCAGAAAAAAUACUCGUGCAACUCGAGUUAUCUUGA